AUCUGCAUAUCUUCUAUUCUGAUUGGAGAUCUAGGACUUGUCUAAAUUGGGCUUCUUUAGAUCUCUUAAACCAAAAUCUUCACAACCACCUGCUUCGGAGGUAAUAAAUCGGAGGUACUGUUAAACAAACCUGCUCACCCUCAGUUUCUCACUCACUCACAUUUCACAGAUUAAUAACAUAGGUUUUUCAUCUGACAUUUUGAAACCUUAUUUUCAGACUGCUACAUUCGAGACGUCGGGCUCAGAAGAUUGUCUAGAAGACGGCCACUGAUAUUCAAGUUUCCGGGUACAUGGCUGGAACUAGUAUCUUGGGAUCCAGCGACCUACCCAACAGUUCUGGAUGUAGAAAUAUAAGUCUGGAAGGAUGGGUGAGUGGAUCGCCGGACAUUCACUGAGGGACACACGCCAGAGAAAAAGGAAAACAGUUGAUAAAAUUAAGUUGAUAUGAGUCGCAAUAAAAAUCAAUGAACUGAAACAUAAGUCUGUUUAUGGUUUAUGACUUUGUCUAUGACAAAUAUAGCCUACCUCUUAGCCAAUGUUUCCCGUUCUAUGCUAGUAUAAUACACUUUAAAUGGCACAAUUCUUAAGUGUGUCAUAGACUUGACGCACUUUUCUCCUCAGACCAUGCGAAUUUUAGGUGUGUCAUAGACUUCUCCUCAGACAAUUUCCCUGUUCUAAGUUAG